rnacentral:rRNA from 1 species
UGACUGACUGAGUGCCAGCCGCCGCGGUAAAACGUAGGUCACGAGCGUUGUCCGGAAUUACUGGGUGUAAAGGGAGCGCAGGCGGGUAGACAAGUUGGGAGUGAAAUGCAUGGGCUCAACCCAUGAACUGCUCUCAAAACUGUAGAUCUUGAGUAGUGCAGAGGUAGGCGGAAUUCCCGGUGUAGCGGUGGAAUGCGUAGAUAUCGGGAGGAACACCAGUGGCGAAGGCGGCCUACUGGGCACCAACUGACGCUGAGGCUCGAAAGUGUGGGUAGCAAACANGAUUAGAUACCCUGGUAGUCCACACCGUAAACGAUGAUUACUAAGUGUUGGAGGAUAGACCCCUUCAGUGCCGCAGUUAACACAAUAAUAAUCCACCUGGGGAGUACGACCCAAGGUUGAAACUCAAAGGAAUUGACGGGGGCCGCACAAGCAGUGGAGUAUUGGUUAAAUCGACCAACGCGAAGAACCUACAAGUCU